rnacentral:rRNA from 1 species
UUAAAUUGAAGAGUUUGAUCAUGGCUCAGAUUGAACGCUGGCGGCAGGCCUAACACAUGCAAGUCGAACGGUAACAGGAAGCAGCUUGCUGCUUUGCUGACGAGUGGCGGACGGGUGAGUAAUGUCUGGGAAACUGCCUGAUGGAGGGGGAUAACUACUGGAAACGGUAGCUAAUACCGCAUAACGUCGCAAGACCAAAGAGGGGGACCUUCGGGCCUCUUGCCAUCGGAUGUGCCCAGAUGGGAUUAGCUAGUAGGUGGGGUAAAGGCUCACCUAGGCGACGAUCCCUAGCUGGUCUGAGAGGAUGACCAGCCACACUGGAACUGAGACACGGUCCAGACUCCUACGGGAGGCAGCAGUGGGGAAUAUUGCACAAUGGGCGCAAGCCUGAUGCAGCCAUGCCGCGUGUAUGAAGAAGGCCUUCGGGUUGUAAAGUACUUUCAGCGGGGAGGAAGGGAGUAAAGUUAAUACCUUUGCUCAUUGACGUUACCCGCAGAAGAAGCACCGGCUAACUCCGUGCCAGCAGCCGCGGUAAUACGGAGGGUGCAAGCGUUAAUCGGAAUUACUGGGCGUAAAGCGCACGCAGGCGGUUUGUUAAGUCAGAUGUGAAAUCCCCGGGCUCAACCUGGGAACUGCAUCUGAUACUGGCAAGCUUGAGUCUCGUAGAGGGGGGUAGAAUUCCAGGUGUAGCGGUGAAAUGCGUAGAGAUCUGGAGGAAUACCGGUGGCGAAGGCGGCCCCCUGGACGAAGACUGACGCUCAGGUGCGAAAGCGUGGGGAGCAAACAGGAUUAGAUACCCUGGUAGUCCACGCCGUAAACGAUGUCGACUUGGAGGUUGUGCCCUUGAGGCGUGGCUUCCGGAGCUAACGCGUUAAGUCGACCGCCUGGGGAGUACGGCCGCAAGGUUAAAACUCAAAUGAAUUGACGGGGGCCCGCACAAGCGGUGGAGCAUGUGGUUUAAUUCGAUGCAACGCGAAGAACCUUACCUGGUCUUGACAUCCACGGAAGUUUUCAGAGAUGAGAAUGUGCCUUCGGGAACCGUGAGACAGGUGCUGCAUGGCUGUCGUCAGCUCGUGUUGUGAAAUGUUGGGUUAAGUCCCGCAACGAGCGCAACCCUUAUCCUUUGUUGCCAGCGGUCCGGCCGGGAACUCAAAGGAGACUGCCAGUGAUAAACUGGAGGAAGGUGGGGAUGACGUCAAGUCAUCAUGGCCCUUACGACCAGGGCUACACACGUGCUACAAUGGCGCAUACAAAGAGAAGCGACCUCGCGAGAGCAAGCGGACCUCAUAAAGUGCGUCGUAGUCCGGAUUGGAGUCUGCAACUCGACUCCAUGAAGUCGGAAUCGCUAGUUACCACUUUGUGAUUCAUGACUGGGGUGAAGUCGUAACAAGGUAACCGUAGGGGAACCUGCGGUUGGAUCACCUCCUUACCUUAAAGAAGC